rnacentral:rRNA from 1 species
CAGCUAGCUUACCCACCAAAAUUAACCAAACAAUAUAAAUAAAAUAAAAUGGACAAAACACCAAAAACUAAACCAUUCUUUUACCUGAGUAUGGGAGACAGAAAAGGUUCAACCAAAGCAAUAGAAACAGUACCGCAAGGGAAAGCUGAAAGAGAAAUGAAACAACCCAUAUAAGCACAAAAAAGCAAAGAUUAAACCUUGUACCUUUUGCAUCAUGAUUUAGCCAGUAAACCCAAGCAAAGAGACCUUUAGUUUGAAACCCCGAAACCAGGUGAGCUACCCCGAGACAGCCUAUUAAGGGCCAACCCGUCUCUGUGGCAAAAGAGUGGGAAGAGCUCCGGGUAGAAGUGACAGACCUACCGAACCUGGUGAUAGCUGGUUGCCUAAGAAACGAAUAGAAGUUCAGCCUCGUACGCCUCAAAUCAAAAACACAUAAACAAGACACCAAGAGAAACACACGAGAGUUAGUUAAAGGGGGUACAGCCCCUUUAACAAAGGAUACAACCUUAUCAGGAGGAUAAAGAUCAUAAUAUAUAAAACAUACUGUUCUAGUGGGCCUAAAAGCAGCCAUCUAAACAGAAAGCGUUAAAGCUCAGACAGAAAAAAGUUUAUUAUUCUGAUAAACAAUCUUACUCCCCUAAAUUCUAUUAGGCUAAUCCAUGCCCCCAUGGAAGAAAUUAUGCUAAAAUGAGUAACAAGAAGGCCCGCCCUUCUCCCCAGCACAAGUGUAAGCCAAACCGGACAAACCAUUGGCAAUUAACGAACUCAACCCAAGAGAGCAAUGUGAAUCAUAAAAAAACCAAGAAAACCACACAACCAACUAAUCGUUACCCCCACACUGGAGUGCUACUUUAAAGGAAAGACUAAAAGAAAAGGAAGGAACUCGGCAAACACAAGCCUCGCCUGUUUACCAAAAACAUCGCCUCCUGCAACACAACUAUGUAUAGGAGGUCCAGCCUGCCCAGUGACUACAAGUUCAACGGCCGCGGUAUUUUGACCGUGCAAAGGUAGCGCAAUCACUUGUCUUUUAAAUAGAGACCUGUAUGAAUGGCUAAACGAGGGCUUAACUGUCUCCCCUUUCCAGUCAGUGAAAUUGAUCUGCCCGUGCAGAAGCG